CAUACCUUGUAUUGGUUGCUUUGGGAGAGAAAAUUAUACACUUUGCUACUCACACAUUUUGUCUAAGGGAGGCACUACUGUAAUUCUGCACAAUGUUCCAGAUCACUCCUGUCGGUUGAGGCCAUUGAGGAAUUCUGAGAGAGCUUUGCAGGGUGUUGAGCAAGUGUGCAAAUACAGGCAGUCAAGUGAGCAGUUCGGGUGUGUAGUUGAUUUGACGUACAAGCGUUUGGUUGAAAGCUUGAUUCUGCAGCUCCUCCUCUGGCUCCAUCAGGUAGUCCUUCUGCACAUGCUCAGGCUCCAAUUUCAGCAGUCUUUUGCGACGGUUUGUCUUCUUCAUGAGGCGUUUUGCCUUCAAAGCAUUCAAUAGUAAAAGGGGCUGUUGCGUUGUCCAUAUUUUAUACAGCCCUUGCACUGAAGUCACUAAUGAAGAAAGUUGUUUUUGCAAGCUCUGUAUGGAGCUUCAUUUAAAUAAAGUUGAACCUCUGAAGUCACA